rnacentral:rRNA from 1 species
GUAGUCAUAUGCUUCUCUCAAAGAUUAAGCCAUGCAUGUCUAAGUAUAAGCAAUUAUAGCGUGAAACUGCGAAUGGCUCAUUAAAUCAGUUAUCGUUUAUAAGAUAGUACCUUACUACUUGGAUAACCGUGGUAAUUCUAGAGCUAAUACAUGCUGAAAACCCCAACUUCGGGAGGGGUGUAUUUAUUAGAUAAGAAACCAACGCCCUUCGGGGCUUCUUGGUGAUUCAUGAUAACUUCACGGAUCGCAUGGCCUUGCGCCGGCGACGGUUCAUUCAAAUUUCUGCCCUAUCAACUUUCGAUGGUAAGGUAUUGGCGUACCAUGGUAACAACGGGUAACGGGGAAU